CAGGACGAACGCUGGCGGCGUGCCUAACACAUGCAAGUCGAACGGGGUUGAGUGCUUCGGUAUUCAACUUAGUGGCGAACGGGUGAGUAACGCGUGAAGAACCUGCCUUUCAGUGGGGGACAACAGUUGGAAACGACUGCUAAUACCGCAUGACACUUUUUGGGGGCAUCCCCGAGAAGUCAAAGCUUUAUGUGCUGAAAGAUGGCUUCGCGUCUGAUUAGCUAGUUGGUGGGGUAACGGCCCACCAAGGCGACGAUCAGUAGCCGGUCUGAGAGGAUGAACGGCCACAUUGGGACUGAGACACGGCCCAGACUCCUACGGGAGGCAGCAGUGGGGGAUAUUGCACAAUGGGGGAAACCCUGAUGCAGCGACGCCGCGUGAGGGAAGACGGUCCUCUGGAUUGUAAACCUCUGUCUUCGGGGACGAAACGAGACGGUACCCGAGGAGGAAGCCACGGCUAACUACGUG
rnacentral:rRNA from 1 species